UACGAAGGGGGCUAGCGUUGCUCGGAAUCACUGGGCGUAAAGCGCACGUAGGCGGCUUUUUAAGUCGGGGGUGAAAUCCUGGAGCUCAACUCCAGAACUGCCUUCGAUACUGAGAAGCUCGAGUCCGGGAGAGGUGAGUGGAACUGCGAGUGUAGAGGUGAAAUUCGUAGAUAUUCGCAAGAACACCAGUGGCGAAGGCGGGUCUCUGGACAGUUCCUGACGCUGAGGCACGAAGGUCAGGGGAGCAAACGGG
rnacentral:rRNA from 1 species